ACAAAACCUGUGCUUUAGGAAUCCACAAUUAAGUGUAAUUCCUGAAGUGACAGGCGGCAGUUUGGUUUUGUGGGUCGGAACUUGGAUUAUGGGGUCGGACUGCUCAAGUCCGAGCGUCAGCUCCACCCCCUCCACGGCGGAGGCUGUCAGAGCAGAGGCUCCACCAGCUGGUGUCGAGCUCCGCCUUCCGCUUCUCCUGCUGCUUCAUGCCGAACUUGAAGAUGUUCAGGCAGAUGACGACGAACUUGUCCUUGUAGCUCCUCCCACCGGGCCUGCUCUUCCUCCAGCUGGGCCUGCAUCAGGCUCUCCUGGUGCUUCAGCUCGUCCACGCUGCACUGGUGCUUCAUCUCUGCCAGCUCUUUCUGUUGGAGGAUCGGGAAGCGGCAUCGUCACCAGGGUCGUGGGGUCCCUCCUAGCCGCUGGCCUCUGCCGUGCUGUGGCCUCUCCAGCGUGGGCGGGGAUCCCCUCCCCGCAGCCCUUGCCAAGUAUUCUGAGCCUCAGGGAAAUCAGUGGGGGAAGCAGCACGGGCAGGCCGAGGGUCCGUGGGACAUCCCUGGGGUGGAGGCGCCCAGCGAAGACUCGGCCGCUCCCCCAGGCCUCCCUGACCAGGCUCUGGCCCUCUUGUAGGGCUGCACAAGGGAGAGGUGCAGUGGGUGCCCGAGCCACAGGCCUGGGCACGAGGUCUCAGCCCUCGGCUCUGGGCCCUGCCCCCUCCGGCCCUCCUCCACCCGUCCUGCGUAUCCCCCUGCCUGCACUGGGGGCUGCUGGAGCCCCAGGUGACAUUGCCUGUGCUAAGGCUUCAGGUACAAGCACCGCUGACUCUCUGUGCUCCAGUAUCUGCUCCCCCCACCCCCGCGCCCUCCUCUCUCUCAGGACCGUGGCCUGCACGCCCUGCCCUCUCCCUCUUAUGCUGUAAGCCCCAUGCCAGCUUCCAGGUCCCUGAAUGCUCAUCACAUCAUGAACUCUGCUGAAAACCACAGGGUUCUUCUCCACGGGCCUCCGUCUCAGCAGGACAAGCCCUGAACCCCAGCGUCGCCCUCCUGCCUGUCUCCCCCCCCAACACAGAAAGCCCCCCAAGCUCACAGCCCUCACCCGUUCGUGUGCUCUGCUGGGACUGUCCACCGUUCCUCAGGGCUGCGCCAGCCUUCAGGCCCGAUGGAAAUGGGGAGGCACCGCAAGAGCCUGCCCUCAGCCCUGGUCGGCCUCGGCUGGGCCCGGCUGUCCUGCUGCCCGAGCCUGGCAGCACCAGCAGAAAAGCAGACGGCGGCCUCGAGGUGGGAGGUGGCACGACAGUGACGGGGGCAGUAAAGGCACCGCGAGGAGGGCCGCCCUGCGAUCCUCCUGUGGACGUGCCCCUCCCCAGACGCCGGGGCCUGCACGCUGACCCGCGGAGCUGGACGCACGAGGGCCACGCUACCAUGUGGUCGUCGAUGCGCUGGAAGUCCAGGUACACCAGGUUGGGGAGGUAGGCACAGAUGAACGUCCUGUAGUCCUCGGCCUCGGCGACCGGGUUCCCCGAGAGGCUGAGCGUCCGCAGGUCCUUGAACCGCCGCAGGUAGAUGAUCUGGGGGAGAGGGGGGUCGCCUGGGUCCUCUCUCCGUCCUCUGCCCGCACUGGGUGGAGCCACGAGGGAGGAGCCAUGGGCUUUGCCCAGGACCCGUGGACCUGGGUCCCCAUCUCCUCUUCUUAAGGUGGGUGCAGGGAUGUGGUGCAUAGGUGUUGAGAGGACCAAAUGCCACACGCUGUGAGGGCCUCCACCUGCUCCCGUAAUGCCCUGGCUGUGCCCAUCGCUGCUGCUCUCAGAACGGGCGGCCUUUUCCAACUGGAAAGUGCUGUGCAAGGCCCAGCGCUCCUAAAUUCAACGGAACCUGAUUUACAGUUGGCCUGGACCAACUGGGUGGCAGCUAGUGGGAUGUCCACUGACGGCCGUUUAUUCUUCCUAUUGUUAGUAACCAGGGGGAAGUCAGCGAGAUGCCCGUACCUCAUCUGACCGCAACUCCUGUGCUUUCCUGAAGGAGCGUCUUUGUCAUUUGGUUUAUUUGUUCAACAAAGAUCACUAAGCACCUACCAGGCCUCAGCUGUCCUGUGUGCCCCCGCCCCGCAGGGCAGAGGGCAGCUGAGCAAUCAGGUCUUGAACACUGGCAAGAGGUGGGCUGGGUUUACCACCUCCCAGGGGCGUGCAGGGCAAACCUCCCAGACCACACGGCCUCCGGGGUCCGGCCCUCAAACACAGGUGAGCAGCCGGCACCUGACCCGCCCCAGGCCUUUCACCUAAACCGCCUGGCCCGCCCGCCCCUCUGGUCUUGGUCGGGUGGCUGAGGGCGCGUCACACCGAGGGGCACCGUGGGAGAGAUUUCUCCUGCUCUCUGUCCUGCUAGCUGUGGACGAGGAAGCCUGUGGCCUGGACUGCUGGGUCACAGCCACAAGGAGCAUCAGCCCAGGGCAACGCUAAGGGCGGCUGAGCCGAGAGUGAGCACGAGCCAGAGGCCCCACGGCCGAGGGGGCCCCACCCCAGCAAAUGUCUGCUGAGUGAGUGCGGGGACAGGGAAGGAAAGAUCCCACCGGGACAGGGGCACAAACGGACCCGCACGUGGGCUCUCGUGGCCUAGGCUGCGACAGCACCUGCAGCUUGACCAGCGCGUCCAGCGAGUCGAUCUUGGAGAUCCGGUUGUUGAACAGGCUCAGGUCCUCCAGGUUCACCAGCGUGUCCAGCCCCUCGAUGGCCUCAAUGUUGUUGAAGGACAGGUCUGGAGGACGGCUCUGGGUUAGGGUGACUGUCCUGAGUCCAACCCCCCCCGCCCCCCCGGCUCUGCUGCCACCUUCCCGGCCCCGGACUCGGGCGAAGGCUCGCGUCUGUGCGGCCCUCGUUCUGGGAUGGAAGCUCCCUGGUGGGUCGGGGCAGCGCACCUUGGGGUGGGGGAGACCCACGCGGGCCGGGCUGCCCCAAACUCCAGGCCCAGCCCCGGCCGAGACCUCAGGAGCCCCUCUAGCCCAAGGUUCUCAUCUUUGGGAAUAAAACUGCUUUUCUGCCA